GGGAAGAUGGGCCAGAAGGCCAGUUCAGCGCUGAAGGAAGGGGGCACAGAAGGGACAGGGUGAACGGACCCGGAAUUAAAGAAUCGUGUUAAAGAAAAGAGCAAGUGUCACCGGCGUCCGCCAAGGCCCAGGAAGGACUUGUGACCCCCUUUGAGGUAGCAUGUUUAUGAGCAGCCACUCUGAAGCCCGCGGUCCGGACCCAGGAUAUGAUCAAUUUUGGAGAAUGUUCCAUG